CUUCUGAGUCAUCCCAAGGUCCCAGCUAUCUGAAAAGAGAAGGUUCUCUACCAAAGGUAUUUCAGAGAACACAACAUCCCCUGAUGGGCCUGGAAUAGACACAGAUCUUAUAAAUUGGUUGCAACUACAAGGAGUGGAUGCAAAUACAAUCAAAAAGAUUGUUGAAGAGGAUUAUACACUUUCAGAUAUUCUUAAUAACAUCACUAAGGAAGACCUAAGAGGCCUUAGACUACGUGGUGGUGUCCUCUGUAGACUCCGGCAUGCAGUCUCCCAGCACAGAAGACAGGCUCAAGAGUCUUCACAGUGAUAGACGAUUAGGUGUCAUCAGACACUUACGCUGAGGAGUGAGCCAAUACGCUGUUUGUGGUUAAAGCUUCUGUUCAUGACCCCAAAAAUUCCGAGUGUGCACAGAAACACCCUUGCUCAUUUAAUUCAAGCAUUUAAAGACUCUCCUUACUGAUACAGUUUAAAAACAUCUUGCUGUUUAUCAACAUGAUUAAAGAUGUACAGAAUUGUGUGUUAGUGACUGUUUUGAUAUCCCAGCACAUUAGAAAUUAAUGUUUCAUUCAAAGUCACUCUACCUUUUAUCAAUCACUGGGUAUAAGAGGCUGGGAGUUGUUUUAGUGUACGUAGUAAUAAAUAAACAUGAUAAAAAUG